AUAUAUAUUAUGAUAUUGUUAAAUUUUUUAAUUUUAUAUUAUUAAAUUUUUCAUACAUAUAUAUAUUAUUUUAUUGUUUUACAUUGUCAGCGUGCACUUCUCCCCUAGUAGGACAUCGCGACCCGUUAAAUGUUGGUUUACGACCAAUAUGGAUUAGACUUUAUAUAUUAAAUUUAUUUUUAAUAUAUAAAGACCAAAUUGUGUUUUCUAACUAACUAUUUGACGGUAAUCGUAUGGUAUUAAGUCGCAUAAUAAUAUAUUUUUGCGUUCUCUACCCGUCGCAAGCGAGGCCUUUUUUAUUAGUUUUACAGACUUUGUGCUGUCUAAUAAAAAUUGUGCCAGCUGUUGGCUGUUUACGGUGUUCUAGAACUGACUUAUUUUAU
rnacentral:rRNA from 1 species